rnacentral:rRNA from 1 species
ACGGGUGCGUAACGCGUGGGAAUCUGCCCUUGGGUUCGGAAUAACAGUUAGAAAUGACUGCUAAUACCGGAUGAUGUCUUCGGACCAAAGAUUUAUCGCCCAAGGAUGAGCCCGCGUAAGAUUAGCUAGUUGGUGGGGUAAUGGCCCACCAAGGCGACGAUCUUUAGCUGGUCUGAGAGGAUGAUCAGCCACACUGGGACUGAGACACGGCCCAGACUCCUACGGGAGGCAGCAGUGGGGAAUAUUGGACAAUGGGCGAAAGCCUGAUCCAGCAAUGCCGCGUGAGUGAUGAAGGCCUUAGGGUUGUAAAGCUCUUUUACCAGGGAUGAUAAUGACAGUACCUGGAGAAUAAGCUCCGGCUAACUCCGUGCCAGCAGCCGCGGUAAUACGGAGGGAGCUAGCGUUGUUCGGAAUUACUGGGCGUAAAGCGUGCGUAGGCGGUUAUUCAAGUCAGAGGUGAAAGCCCGGGGCUCAACCCCGGAACGGCCUUUGAAACUAGAUAGCUAGAGUCUUGGAGAGGUUAGUAGAAUUCCGAGUGUAGAGGUGAAAUUCGUAGA